rnacentral:rRNA from 1 species
UACGUAGGGUGCGAGCGUUGUCCGGAAUUAUUGGGCGUAAAGAGCUUGUAGGCGGUCUGUCGCGUCUGCUGUGAAAAUCCGGGGCUCAACCCCGGACUUGCAGUGGGUACGGGCAGACUAGAGUGUGGUAGGGGAGACUGGAAUUCCUGGUGUAGCGGUGAAAUGCGCAGAUAUCAGGAGGAACACCGGUGGCGAAGGCGGGUCUCUGGGCCGAUACUGACGCUGAGUGAGCGAAAGCCAGGGGAGCAAACGGG